UCAAUCUAUUUACUUUUUAAACUAUUUUAUGUGUAGUUUUGUUUUGCCUUACCUUGGCACUAUUCAGAAUUAUUUUGCACUAUUCUUUGCACUAUUUAUUUAUUAGUUAUUUACUUUUCUCCUUCUCUCCUCAUGCACCGUGGGUUGAGACAAACGCUAUUCGAUCCCUCCGUUGGUCUGGCACAUCAUCUGGAGUUAACAAUAAAGCUGACUUUGACUUGGAUCCCCACCAUGUAAUAGUUUCACAAAAGCCUUAAAAUACAUUCCUAUAGACUGCAUAAUCUACCCACAUUAUAUGAAUCUGAGAAUAUAUACAAAAUAAUAUUGAAUGCAUAACCACAUAUAUCCUCCAUACAAUAUCUUAAAUUGUGUUUCAGUAUGACAUUCAGUCACUCUCAAGACGAACGCACAAAAGGGACUGAGCUCUGAUUGGCUGGUCGGUGCGCUGAGCGUGUGUGUGUGUGUGUGUGUGUGUGUGCGCGCAGUCGCUGCGUUGGUGGCAGAGUAGUGAAUGGGCAGAGAGAGGGGUGUGCUCUGAGAGGCAGACACACCAUCGGCAGGCAGAGCAGGAGCAGCACACACAACCUCCCCGCACAACCUCCACGCACAACCUCCACGCACAGCCUCCACGCACAACCUCCACGCACAACCUCCCCGAGAGAGAGAGAGAGAGAGAGAGGGAGGGAGAGCAAGGGAGACCAGGCGCACCUUUGCAAGGAUCAAUCCAGAGGACGUCGUCCAUCUUCCACCUCGUUGCCAGCGCCAGAUCGCUCUUGGAAUCACUCCCUUUUUUAACUCCAUUCUAACGCCAUGGAGCAGAAAAUAAACGAGACUCCCACCAACACAUCGCCUCAGAAGCACAUGAAGAACCGCUCCAAGUCCACGGACGAGCUCCAGCACCCCCGCAGGGCUUUCUCCUCACAGAAGUCCCUGCCAGGGAGACCAGAGCUGGAGCAUGUCAAGGAGGGCCCCGAUGACACGGAGUCCUCCACCUCCUCCACCGAGGAGCUGAAGGAGGAACAGGAGUGACUUCCCCCCGCCCUCCCCCUCCUCCUCCACCAUCACCCCCUCCUCCUCUUCCUCCUCCUCCUCCUCCUCCCCACCCGCUCGCCCCCCUCCCCUUACCCUCCCAGACGCCUGUUGUGGGACGGAUGACUGCUGUCCCCCCCACACCCCCAUGACGUCAUCUCACAACACACACACACACACACACACACACACCAAGGCGCUCUACCCAGAGACAGCUGUAGCGACCUGAUCCAGAACACACACACACACACACACACACACACACACACACACACACACACACACACACACACACACACACACACACACACACACACACACACACACACACACACACCCCAGACGACCAUACACACAUGCACACAAGCACACACAUGAACACGCACACACACUAAGACGAUCAUUAGAUGUGCCAUGAUUAUGGAUGUGCAUUGUGAUUUCAUCGUCUGGGGCAAAGUGAAUGUGAAAUGACAAUAAAGAUGUCUUGGUUGAGUGUGAAGGCCUCACUCCUCUCCCCACCUCCUGUCACUGGCGUUUCCUCGAACCGACUUCCUGUUCCACUCUGCCUCCUCCAUGGCAUCCUUGUGUUUUUAGACAAGAUAAGAUAAGAAAGAGCUUUAUUCAUCCCGAAGGAAAUAUUUUUGCCAGAGAUUGCAAAAAAAAUGUCAAAACAUAAGAAUAAAAAAGAUUGAUGAUUAGAA